rnacentral:misc_RNA from 1 species
UUAAUAUCUCACCAAGUUAUGGGUGCAAGCUUAUAGCAAGGUGGAUUUUGGAUGUUUUGUCUCUGUACAAUCAUCUUAAAGUGAUCGUAUGUACUUCAGUUGCUAUGGCAGUUGGAUACCAAAGUGCAACAGAUUUUAUCUUUAUGCUUUAGUAUUUUAUUGAAAUCAACAGAAGUGUAUACUUGCUGGCUUACAGAUGUUAUGCAAAGGCAUGACUUCUGAUA